rnacentral:rRNA from 1 species
GACGAACGCUGGCGGCGCGCUUAACACAUGCAAGUCGAACGGAAAGGCCCUGCUUUUGUGGUGUGCUCGAGUGGCGAACGGGUGAGUAACACGUGAGUAACCUGCCCUUGACUUUGGGAUAACUUCAGGAAACUGGGGCUAAUACCGGAUAGGAGCUCCUGCUGCAUGGUGGGGGUUGGAAAGUUUCGGCGGGUGGGGAUGGACUCGCGGCUUAUCAGCUUGUUGGUGGGGUAGUGGCUUACCAAGGCUUUGACGGGUAGCCGGCCUGAGAGGGUGACCGGCCACAUUGGGACUGAGAUACGGCCCAGACUCCUACGGGAGGCAGCAGGGGGGAAUAUUGUACAAUGGGCGGAAGCCUGAUGCAGAAACGCCGCGUGCGGGAUGACGGCCUUCGGGUUGUAAACCGCUUUCGCCUGUGACGAAGCGUGAGUGACGGUAAUGGGUAAAGAAGCACCGGCUAACUACGUG